rnacentral:rRNA from 1 species
UGGGGAAUAUUGCACAAUGGGCGCAAGCCUGAUGCAGCCAUGCCGCGUGUAUGAAGAAGGCCUUCGGGUUGUAAAGUACUUUCAGCGGGGAGGAAGGCGAUAAGGUUAAUAACCUUGUCGAUUGACGUUACCCGCAGAAGAAGCACCGGCUAACUCCGUGCCAGCAGCCGCGGUAAUACGGAGGGUGCAAGCGUUAAUCGGAAUUACUGGGCGUAAAGCGCACGCAGGCGGUCUGUCAAGUCGGAUGUGAAAUCCCCGGGCUCAACCUGGGAACUGCAUUCGAAACUGGCAGGCUAGAGUCUUGUAGAGGGGGGUAGAAUUCCAGGUGUAGCGGUGAAAUGCGUAGAGAUCUGGAGGAAUACCGGUGGCGAAGGCGGCCCCCUGGACAAAGACUGACG